CGCUACCGAGGCGGAAGUAAGCGUUGUUGCUUCCGGAGUAGCGAUGGCGGCUUUCUCCCACCUCCCAUGCAGCGCGGCUGGGCUUCCGGUGCGAGCUGCUCCCUGCCCUGCUGUCCUCAAACUUUGGCCGUCCAGGCUGUGCCUGGCCGAUCCCCUCGUGCCUUCCUCAGCCUUCCUGUGAGCUCCAGCCACCUCCCCAUGCAGACAAGCUGCUGUCAGGGCCUCUGUCACAGAUGGGUCUGAGAACAGAAGGCUUAGCAGACUUCGGUGGAUCACACGAGGGUAUGUGAUGUCACGUCUACAAAGGAAACUUCUUCCUGGGCAGCCCCUCACACAGCGUGCAACUUCAAAGAGAGCCCACGAGAGGUCUCUGAAGCUGCUGCUAUGCAAGGAGCCCCAGCACCUAACGGCAGAGCACACCCUUCAGAGCCUCCAGAGAAAGCCCUUGGAAGAAGUGGGCCCAGCAGUACAGAGAAACCAUGCCACCUCUUUGGUUUGUGUCCACUUCCAGCCGUCCAUUGCCACCUCUGAGGAGUUCAGCAGUGUCUGCUGCAGACUGGAUCACAGCAACCUGAAAUCAGCGCAUCCUCCUCUGGUGGUGGAUGGUAUUCGUAGAUGUAUGAAUAUCUACCUGUGAGCCUUAAAUCAGAAGUAACUGCUACACUAAUUUGACUGCUCUGAUCUUUGAAUAAAGGAAAGCUGUAGUGUCUUUGGCCAACAUUGUUCCCUGAACCCUGAGGUGCUUCCUCCCAGUUUGUGAGUAUAGAUGUGAGGUAAAAAUAGCUAUGGGCACAUUUGAUGGACAAAGUCUUCCUUAGAAGACAUGGGUACAGAAGAAGAGAUUCUGGAGGAGUUGAGGUGCCCGAGUCCAGACUGCCACAGAUCCCACCUCAGUCUUGCUACAAUGGCACUGAACUUUCACAGGUCCACAACUUUUGAUUUUAAAGGUUUCUAAAUGAUUGAUUGAUUGAUUGAUAAUUAUUAGAGACUUCUCAGUAAUUAUUGGAUGAAAGCUCUCUGCACGCUGAACUGGGGAAUAUAUCUCGCUUCUGUUAGGCCUUGGCGUGAGCAGGAUGCUAAACUUCUUAGAUCUGAACUAACUCCAAACGUGUUCAAGAGUGGCCCAAACUCUGUAUGUUUACAGAAUCAUAGAAUGGCUGUGGUUGACAGGGACCUCUGGGCCCAUCUGGUCCAACCCCUGCUCAAGCAGGGAUGCUCAGAGAAGGUCCUCGGCAACCCGGCAUGGCUUUCUCCUUUUCUUGCGCUGGUGAAGGUCCUCACAUGGGCCCUCUGCCUUCUCAUGGUCUUCUGGGAUGAGAAGCACGAGCCUGCCUGAAUUGUUGUGACAGCCACAGCAGCAGAGCCCUGCCUUGGGGUUUCACUGCACAGAGAGAGGGAUGGAGCCUUGGGAGGGUCUCCUCUCAUAGCUUCUCUUGGAAAGAAUGAACGAUUCAUUCAUGAGAGCUUGUAUAGAGAAGGAAGCACCAAUAAAAUUCAGUGGUAUAGCCACUUGUCUGUAAGUGGGAAUUUCUGCAUUCCAGGCCCUGUUUCCAUGAUUGUGAACCAAAGCACCAUCAGAUGAGGGAAAUAAAUAAGUAAGUAAAUAAAUAAAUAAAAGCAACAACAAAAUCCCAAGUCUUUCACCUUCCUAUGCCUGCUCUAAUCAGACCAGCUCAUGACCAAAGACUGCUGUCUUCCUGUGGAACACUGAGCCUUGUACCUCUUGGUGCACCUCGUGCCACCAUGGACGCGCCCUUGGUUAUUCCUCUGCUGAGCAAUUUGGCUGUUGCAACUCUUAGGGAGAGAUUCUGAAUUGCAUGGGUAACAUGAAAAGCAGGAAAAUUCACC
rnacentral:lncRNA from 1 species